UAAAGUGGCGCACGGGUGAGUAACACGUGACUAACCUACCUUUGAGUGGGGGAUAACCUAGGGAAACCUGGGCUAAUACCGCAUAAUACCUACGGGUCAAAGCGAGCAAUCGCGCUUUCAGAGGGGGUCGCGGCAGAUUAGCUAGUUGGCGGGGUAAUGGCCCACCAAGGCAAUGAUCUGUAUCCGGCCUGAGAGGGCGCACGGACACACUGGAACUGAAACACGGUCCAG
rnacentral:rRNA from 1 species